rfam:Triticum aestivum genome assembly, contig: Triticum_aestivum_CS42_TGACv1_scaffold_145856_2BS
GGGUCAAGCGAUGAGGAAUAAACCAUCAACAAUAUGAUGGAGCUAUGCUCCUCUGAUUCUUAGUAUUUAAGUCUCUGAUGAUACC